GCCGACUUAGAUCAGUAGGUAGAACAACAGACAUGAAAUCAGUAGGUCGCCAGUUCGGUUCCGGUAGUCGGCACCA
rnacentral:tRNA from 1 species